rnacentral:rRNA from 1 species
AUUGAACGCUGGCGGCAGGCCUAACACAUGCAAGUCGAGCGAGCGGCGGACGGGUGAGUAAUGUCUGGGGAUCUGCCCGAUGGAGGGGGAUAACUACUGGAAACGGUGGCUAAUACCGCAUACUAUCGGAUGUGCCCAGAUGGGAUUAGCUAGUAGGUGGGGUAACGGCUCACCUAGGCGACGAUCUCUAGCUGGUCUGAGAGGAUGAUCAGCCACACUGGAACUGAGACACGGUCCAGACUCCUACGGGAGGCAGCAGUGGGGAAUAGUGCACAAGGGGCGCAAGCCUGAUGCAGCCAUGCCGCGUGUAUGAAGAAGGCCUUCGGGUUGUAAAGUACUUUCAGCGAGGAGGCGUUACCCGCAGAAGAAGCACCGGCUAACUCCGUGCCAGCAGCCGCGGUAAUAC